AUUGAACGCUGGCGGCAGGCCUAACACAUGCAAGUCGAACGGUAGCACAGAGAGCUUGCUCUCGGGUGACGAGUGGCGGACGGGUGAGUAAUGUCUGGGAAACUGCCCGAUGGAGGGGGAUAACUACUGGAAACGGUAGCUAAUACCGCAUAAUGUCGCAAGACCAAAGAGGGGGACCUUCGGGCCUCUUGCCAUCGGAUGUGCCCAGAUGGGAUUACCUUGUUGGUGAGGUAAUGGCUCACCAAGGCGACGAUCCCUAGCUGGUCUGAGAGGAUGACCAGCCACACUGGAACUGAGACACGGUCCAGACUCCUACGGGAGGCAGCAGUGGGGAAUAUUGCACAAUGGGCGCAAGCCUGAUGCAGCCAUGCCGCGUGUGUGAAGAAGGCCUUCGGGUUGUAAAGCACUUUCAGCGGGGAGGAAGGCAAUGCGGUUAAUAACCGUGUUGAUUGACGUUACCCGCAGAAGAAGCACCGGCUAACUCCGUG
rnacentral:rRNA from 1 species